AAUGAACGCUGGCGGCAUGCCUAACACAUGCAAGUCGAACGAGAUCUUCGGAUCUAGUGGCGCACGGGUGAGUAACGCGUGGGAACCUACCUUUUAGUUCGGGAUAACGUUUGGAAACGAACGCUAAUACCGUAUACGCCCUCCGGGGGAAAGGUCAGCCGCUGAAAGAGGGGCCCGCGUCUGAUUAGCUUGUUGGUAGGGUAAUGGCCUACCAAGGCUACGAUCAGUAGCUGGUCUGAGAGGAUGAUCAGCCACACUGGGACUGAGACACGGCCCAGACUCCUACGGGAGGCAGCAGUGGGGAAUAUUGGACAAUGGAGGCAACUCUGAUCCAGCAAUGCCGCGUGUGUGAUGAAGGCCCUAGGGUUGUAAAGCACUUUCAACGGUGAAGAUGAUGACG
rnacentral:rRNA from 1 species